UGGGGAAUUUUGGACAAUGGGCGAAAGCCUGAUCCAGCAAUGCCGCGUGAGUGAAGAAGGCCUUCGGGUUGUAAAGCUCUUUUGUUUGGGAAGAAAUCCUAAAGGCUAAUAUCCUUUGGGGAUGACGGUACCAAAAGAAUAAGCACCGGCUAACUACGUGCCAGCAGCCGCGGUAAUACGUAGGGUGCAAGCGUUAAUCGGAAUUACUGGGCGUAAAGCGUGCGCAGGCGGUUUUGUAAGACAGGUGUGAAAUCCCCGAGCUCAACUUGGGAACUGCACUUGUGACUGCAAGACUAGAGUGUGUCAGAGGGAGGUAGAAUUCCACGUGUAGCAGUGAAAUGCGUAGAGAUGUGGAGGAAUACCGGUGGCGAAGGCGGCCUCCUGGGAUAACACUGACGCUCAUGUACGAAAGCGUGGGGAGCAAACAGG
rnacentral:rRNA from 1 species